rnacentral:rRNA from 1 species
CACUCCUACGGGAGGCAGCAGUGGGGAAUUUUGGACAAUGGGCGAAAGCCUGAUCCAGCAAUGCCGCGUGAGUGAAGAAGGCCUUCGGGUUGUAAAGCUCUUUUGUCAGGGAAGAAACGGUGAAAGCUAAUAUCUUUUGCUAAUGACGGUACCUGAAGAAUAAGCACCGGCUAACUACGUGCCAGCAGCCGCGGUAAUACGUAGGGUGCAAGCGUUAAUCGGAAUUACUGGGCGUAAAGCGUGCGCAGGCGGUUUUGUAAGUCUGAUGUGAAAUCCCCGGGCUCAACCUGGGAAUUGCAUUGGAGACUGCAAGGCUAGAAUCUGGCAGAGGGGGGUAGAAUUCCACGUGUAGCAGUGAAAUGCGUAGAUAUGUGGAGGAACACCGAUGGCGAAGGCAGCCCCCUGGGUCAAGAUUGACGCUCAUGCACGAAAGCGUGGGGAGCAAACAGGAUUAGAUACCCCAGUAGUCCCAUGA